rnacentral:rRNA from 1 species
UACGUAGGUGGCAAGCGUUAUCCGGAUUUACUGGGUGUAAAGGGCGUGUAGGCGGGAAAGCAAGUCAGAUGUGAAAACCAUGGGCUCAACCUGUGGCCUGCAUUUGAAACUGUUUUUCUUGAGUACUGGAGAGGCAGACGGAAUUCCUAGUGUAGCGGUGAAAUGCGUAGAUAUAUGGAGGAACACCGGUGGCGAAAGCGGCUCUCUGGCCUGUAACUGACACUGAGGCUCGAAAGCGUGGGGAGCAAACAGG